rnacentral:rRNA from 1 species
AUGCGGACGUGGUGCAAGCUGGCUCACGCCGGGUCCAACGAGUUCGAAUUCCACGUCGAGCUCGAGCUGCGCGGCGUCCCUACCCAAGCAUGGCACCUGUCCACCGCCAAGCACAUCUUGGGGCAAAGCUGUUGGAUCGAGCGCCUCCAUCCACAGACCCGCUCCCGCGCUGACCUUGCCACCUUCCGUCUGUCCGGGCGCACGCAAGAUCCUGCCAGCAUCCAACGCGCGGCCAUCCUGGAAGUGGUGGAGCAGGUGUCGGCGUCCUUAAGCUCCGAUGCUCCCACCAUCAGGACGCUGACGUACCCCAUCUCCAUCGUGCUCGCCCCCGCCACCAUGAUCAGGGCGCUGGCUACCUCCGUGCCGCCGGGCACCGGCCGGGACGGCGACCACGGCGCCAGCGAGGAUCGAGAUCCCGCCCCUGGCCGUGGCCCUGGGCGUGCACAUCGCCGCGGCCGCAAGCGUAGGCGCAUGGACGCGCCACCUGCUGGUCGCUCCGACGGCAUGGCAAUUGACGACCUGGGCUGGCGCGUCGGGAGGCAUGCACACGCGGAUGGCCCCUCCAUGUCGCCGGCGUGGCCUGCCAACUCCGGCACAGCGCCACCCACAAUCCCGCCACGGGCUGGCGUGCUGCCCUGGCCAGGUCAGCAAGGGGCCCUACAUCGGCGUCAUCGCACCAGAAGUGGCAAAAGCAGAGGAAAGCAAAGGCUGCGCCCUGCUGCGGGCCAGGCGCGCAGUGCUGACACCGUUGCUGCGGACACCCAGCCCAGCGCGGUCGGGACGCGUGUCGACCAUGCAAGGAAGACCCAACACCGUCCGAGACCCCGCAUCUGGCGGGCAACAUCGCUCCCAACGAUGAUCCUGCGGGGCCACUUCCUGCCACACCUGACGCCUCGGCUUGUCAGGAUCUGGCGCUGGCCAGCGACGUACCAGACUCGCAGCAGGAUGAACCAGCCGAGCCAGCUAUCCUGUCGGGACAAAGCGGCGAUCCCACCCCACCCGACCACAACAUGGGGCUGGAUUCCGCUAACCAGUCCACGGACCCGGCCACCACGCGCGCUGCCUUGGACAGGGCGGGGCCACCCAAUGGCGCCAGCUCCCCUGCUGCCGCGCCAGGCUGCCCUCCCUGCCCCCGCUGUGUCGACGCCUGACCAAAGUCUGCAGAGCCCGAUCAUGAUUCUGCAAAGGCCCGCGGCCCACCCCUCCCCGACGAGGCCCAUUGAUGAAUCGCCCAUGCCCACCCGCGAGGCCGUGCAUGCCCCAUGCCCAAGUGAGCCAGCCCCGAAUCAUUUCGCAUCCCCACCAAUCACGCUGCGUUGA